UAGCCGGCGGGGCGACGCGGCAUCGCUGACUCUGCAUCCACCGCCGUCCCUUUGAGUCUCGCGUGCUGGCUGGCAGGGUGACAGGAGGAGGGGCACGGGUUGCUGCUCAUGGCACUGCUGCGCCCAGGCUCUUCCUCCUCGACAAGUCUAGGUCAUUCCUCAUCUCAUCUGACCACACUCAUGCCACAUAACCUGGUCCGGAUGCAAGGUGCAAGGCAGGAAAGGCGGUAGUAGGUCGAGAGAAGUGUAGAAGAGGGUUCCUCCAGGCUCCAUCCAUGUACGGUGUCGGUCCGAUGCCUCGGGCAUGUGGCAAUGUCGGGGACCAGCGAGGAAGAUGCUGGUGUACAUCCUUUGGAAUAAAGUUGAAGUCUCUGAUAUAACGGUCCAGAAUAAAUAUCCAAUGAAGAUGAUGCGUGACGAACAGCAUGGUGAUGAUCCAUAAAGCCCUACAUUGUUCUUUUGCUCGCUGGUGACUUUACUACUUUCUGAUUGCAUGCCAAGUAGCCGAGCAGACACUUUCUUCGUAGAUUAGUUGUUUAGUUUCAUAUACUGAAUGCUUUGUCGAGUGCGGUGUCAUUGCAACAGCAGAGUUCAAACAUCCUUCAAAGUAUGUCUCAGGUUUAAGAAUGCUAAGCCCAGCAGUCUAUAAUGCAUAUAUAAAAGAUGGAAACUACACAAUCAUAUCCUUAGAGUGCAUAAAUAUCAUGUAUGCUGUUGGGAAUUAUAAUGAAAUAUUGAUAACUGAAUGAAUACUCUUGUUAACUCACCGGGUGAUGGAAUUAAAUUGAAGAGACAUAUUCUGAAAAUCAAAAUUAUUUCUGAGUUUGUAUUCUACUCGUACACAUCUUCAUAUCCACUAGCACAUUCAAAUUCCAUAUAUGCAUGGAGUAGCAGUACGAUUGGUCAAAAUAAAAAGACAGGAUGCUGCUUUGCAGAAAGUGGUCGUCAAGUAAUUAUUCUGCUGUUGGAAAUCGCCCACGAUCGAUCACAAUUCACAUCAAGUCGACGAACAUGACACACAAAAACUUUUGGCCAAAGGCAUGUGCCAUGUCUUGUUCUUCUCUUUAUUUCUUUUCUAUUUUCUCCACACGAUUACAAAACUCAUGCAGCUUCAUGUGUGUGUGUGUGUGUGUCUAUACACACACGCGUGCGCGCGAAGCCAUGAGCCCAUGACCCAAUAACUGAACCGAGUAGUGGAAUAUUGUUGGUGCAAAUAAAUGUUCUUUGAGUUUAGAUGAUGCAUGGAUAAAUAACUCUAUGUGAUGAUUUAUUUGCCGGCACUGAUUACAUUCCCCAUGCAUUGUUGACGUUCCCACCCUUUGCCCUGCUAAUUCACGAAUUAGGUUUCAGACCCGAUAGCUUGUUAUGCUGUGUUGCAAUUAAACAGAAGUAUGGAUCUAGGAAAUUCAUGACUAGCUAUUGGUCUUCCUAUCAGCAGUAGAGAGAUGCCUGGUCAGCAGAUAUAUGUGUCUGAAACCUUUGCAUGGUGUACAUGCUAUACUAUGUAAUAAAUAAAAGGUAGUUUAAUUUUUUAUUAUGCCGCUAAGAUACCCAAUCAGACUGAUUAUACAUACACCCAAAACAAUAUAUUAUAGUCUGAACUAUGAAACUAUACUCAAGAGGAAAGGUUAUACAUCAAUCCUUUCUGCAGAUUUCUUAUCAGCUCAUUCUGUCCUGUAUGAUUAUUUUAUGCCACGCAAAUUGCUAGAUAUAUUCAUACUCUCCGUUUAACCAUAACAUCAAGAACACCCAAAAAUUAGCAAUCCUAACAGGUCUGCUGCUUGCGGGCAGAAAGUAACUAUCAAGGAAGAAGAGUUAGAUGCUAGCCACAUACCUGUCGAAGAUAUUGGCGGUAAGCAUGUGUCGUACAGGUUAUUUAUGCUUUCCCUUAAGCCAUUCUUAGCCAACCCCGUGCAGUCCAUGCGCUAUGCAUAAGAACCACAGAUCGCUCAAGCAGCGUCGAAGCCUGCCUGUGACUGUUCCAAAUGCAUGCUUAUCAAUCCAGGUCCGACUUCUGUUCCACCAGUCUACUUCAAAAUGUUAGACAUCCAACAGUUACAAAUGUUCACGCUGCUUACUUCCUACCUUACUGCUUCAUUGUUUUAUUACAAAAGCCAGCUCUGAGGCAAAAACUUGAACACAGAGCUUCACACAGCAAUGUUUGCCUCAGCAACAACGCCACAGGUAAAUACAUAGCCAGAAAAGAAAAGUUGUUUGCAAUUGUUCAUAUACCUUAGUUUCCUAUUCCUGACUCUCUUUGUUCAGAACCGGACCAUCGAUGGAAAAGGGUCCAUUUAGCUGAUGGGGAAUACAUUGUCCAUGGGAAAAACCUGGCUUCCUUUAUGUAACUUGUGUCGCUUUGGAAACAUAAUAAACACUAUGAAUUUCGUGGUGAGAACUACAUAGAUGAAAGAUGAGCUGAGUGACCAUUGUAUAUGGGGAAACAGUGUGACCCUAUACACACGCCAUGUAUAAGAUCAAUGUAAAUGAGCUGCAUGACCUGCCUUCGUACCUUUCUUUGUACAUCGUUAGUCCUUUUGGGCUAUCAUGCUACCAUGACUCAAGUAUAAACCAUUAUGUAUAAAGAUACUAUCUAAGUAUCCAUUUACAUGGUGUUUAAGUCCA